AUAGAAAAUAGGAAAAACAGAAUGGUCAGACAAGCCAAGGCCAGGGUAGGAGAAGUACGGAUAAACGUUAAUCAAAGCCAAGGGUCAGGGAAAACCAGAAAUACAGAAAAUCAGAGACAAGCCGAAGUCAGAUAACAGGACAAGUUAACAGAAUGCACUCUUGGGCUACAAUAAACCACGACAGGGCAAGGAAGUGAUGUAAGAGGGAGGUAUAAAUAGG